ensembl:misc_RNA
AAAGGCCCUAACCACGGAGCCUCGCAAUCGUUCUCCGCUUUGCCGUGGCCGAAAUCUAGAUUCAAAAAGAGCUCCCGGAGG